UUGGGUAUAAAAUGUUCUUAGUGAUCCAUUAGCCUUCAUUAAUUAGCCUAGACGUCUACAGUCACCUAAUUUUUCGUCCUCAAAACAGUUAUUAAUUUAAGAAGGAGUUAAAAGUGUAACGAAAUAAGAGGGCAUGUAGGCUAUUCAUUUUGAGCUGAGAGGUCUUCCAUCUUCCAACAAAGGUUUUGGUUAUCUCUCCGCUGCUCGUGUUCCUAUUGUGCAUCCUCCCCUCCCACGCUCAGGACGAGUACUCUGGUUACCACUCAGGUGAAGAACACACCUAUGAGGGCUCAUUGGUCGACAACUAUGAGCAUUCAGGAUACCCACAACCAGAGGAAUACCCACCGGAGCCCACUCACAGCUAUGAGGAGCAGCAACCCUCAUCUGGAUAUGACCCCUAUGCACCAGCCCCCACCAGUGUGAGCAUGAUCACAGAGGACUCCUACCCCUACACCACCACCACACAGGUACCAUACGAGCAGGAGCCCUACGAAGAGUCGCUCCAGGCCCCUGGUGGUGGGGAGGCUUCUCUGGGGGAGGAGGGGCCAACAGACUGUAACUGUGAGCCUGGAGAGCCAGGGUUCGCUGGGUUUGCAGGG